UACGUAGGGGGCAAGCGUUAUCCGGAUUUACUGGGUGUAAAGGGAGCGUAGACGGUCAGACGAGUCUGAAGUGAAAAUCCAGCGCUUAACGUUGGAAGUGCUUUGGAAACUGCCGGGCUAGAGUGCAGGAGGGGCAGGCGGAAUUCCUAGUGUAGCGGUGAAAUGCGUAGAUAUUAGGAGGAACACCAGUGGCGAAGGCGGCCUGCUGGACUGCAACUGACGUUGAGGCUCGAAGGCGCGGGGAGCAAACAGG
rnacentral:rRNA from 1 species